rnacentral:rRNA from 1 species
UACGAAGGGGGCUAGCGUUGUUCGGAUUUACUGGGCGUAAAGCGCACGUAGGCGGACCUGCAAGUCGGGGGUGAAAGCCCGAGGCUCAACCUCGGAACUGCCUUCGAUACUGCGGGUCUCGAGUCCGGGAGAGGUGAGUGGAAUUCCUAGUGUAGAGGUGAAAUUCGUAGAUAUUAGGAAGAACACCAGUGGCGAAGGCGGCUCACUGGCCCGGUACUGACGCUGAGGCGCGAAAGCGUGGGGAGCAAACAGG